AGAAGGUGCUGUGGGAGCAUUGCUUUAGAAUGUGGAGAACCAGUCCUCAGUGCUCCAGUUUCCAUAACCCCAAAUAGCCUGUGUCCUACCAGCACUGGAGUCAUAAUGUGUCAGCUUCCACAGUGGGGAGCUGGCCCUUCUUAAGUCUUGCACCUAGACCCUAGGGAUGUGCUAGGAAAUGACAGAUGAAAAGCCAACAGCCUUUUCCCUUGCUUCGUGUCAUUCGGCAUAAGACUCGUCUUAUAAAAUGGCCAUCAACAGAAAGCAUGCCUUCACAUGAACACAGAAAAAUCCUUACUGCUUAACAAGCCAUAAAUAGACCUGAUCUCAGAUUUCUUGAAAGCUUUAUUGUACUUUUAGUGGUGACUCCGGUGAAUUAACUUCUGUGAAGAAGCAGACAGGCUGUUGAAAAACAGGAAACAGGUAAAAUACAUUCUCCAGCUUCAGAAAACCCAGCCAUAAUUACCCUUGGAUUGUGAUUAGUGGUGCUGCACAUGUGGCUGUUUUCCAAAGCCUUCCUGGCCUCCCCAUAGCCCACUUUGCACUUUGGGCAAGUGUGGCCCAGCUGUGCUCAUUUUCUGCUUGCUUUUCCCUGGCAAAGAAACAUUUGCACAAUUCUCCAUUCAAGCAGUAAAGAAUGACUCUCAAUCUUUCCACCUUUGAUAGGAAAUAAAAGAUCAGAAUGCCCUGUCUCUUCCAGAGAAACACAACGGAGGGGACAUCUCAGGCAAACUGACUGGGCUUGAAGGAGAUGUUGGAUCUGGGAUGAAAGCUAUUAUUGCUAGAACCUGUUUGCUCAAAGGUCCAGCACCUUGUCUGGAACCCAAGAAUGAUUUGAGGAAAACCACAAGCCAUAUUCCUGCUCAACGACAGUCUGAAGUCAGAGGUUUGAAGAACAAGGCACAUAGAAUGGAAUCUAACUCCUGCAGGACAUCAAAAAAGGGAAUUUCCAAGUCAUGUCUUGUACAAUCCAGCUCUUCAAAUUAGCAUACAAUCAUUUCAGCCUUUCUGAACACAUUUUUUUAAACUUCAGAACAAACAAUCAAACUGGUUCAUGGAUAAUUUAGAACGUUUUUGUAAGGGUAACAUUGGUGUGUUUCCUUUGACUCGUGGAAAUUAAUGUUAAAUUCAUUAAUUCCUUUUAUAUCUUGAAAUUAUCCUUUUAAUAUAAAAUUAUUUAAUUGCUAAGUAACAAAAAAGUAUUCUUUAAAUCCUUCCGUUUAUCUUAAUUCUCUCAAAGGUUCACAAUGUGGGGCGCCUGGGUGGCGCAGUCGGUUGAGCGUCCGACUUCAACCAGGUCACGAUCUCGCGGUCCGUGAGUUCCAGCCCCACGUCGGGCUCUGGGCUGAUGGCUCAGAGCCUGGAGCCUGUUUCCGAUUCUGUGUCUCCCUCUCUCUCUGCCCCUCCCCCGUUCAUGCUCUGUCUCUCUCUGUCCCAAAAAUAAAUAAACGUUGA